rnacentral:rRNA from 1 species
UCAAGCAGAUAAGCGCAUUUGGUGGAUGCCUUGGCAGCUGGAGGCGAUGAAGGACGUUGUAGCUUGCGAAAAGUCUCGGGGAGCCAGCAAACAGGCUUUGAUCCGGGAAUGUCCGAAUGGGGAAACCCACCGUUUCGACGGUAUCCAAACCUGAAUUCAUAGGGUUUGGAGGCAAACCCGGGGAACUGAAAUAUCUCAGUACCCGGAGGAAAAGAAAUCAACCGAGAUUCCCUCAGUAGCGACGAGCGAACGGGGACCAGCCCUUAAGCUCGCCGAUCUCUAACGGAAGUGUCUGGAAAGUCACGCGAUACAGGGUGAUAGCCCCGUACGUGAAAGGGAUCGGUGAGUGAAAUCGAGUAAGGCGGGACACGUGACAUCCUGUCUGAACAUGGGGGGACCAUCCUCCAAGGCUAAAUACUCCCAGCUGACCGAUAGUGAACCAGUACCGUGAGGGAAAGGCGAAAAGAACCCCUGUGAGGGGAGUGAAAUAGAACCUGAAACCGGAUGCGUACAAGCAGUCAGAGCCCGUCUUCGGAUGGGUGAUGGCGUACCUUUUGUAUUAUGGGUCAGCGAGUUAUUUUCAGUGGCAAGGUUAACCGUCUAGGGGAGCCGUAGGGAAACCGAGUCUUAAAUGGGCGUCUUAGUCGCUGGGAAUAGACCCGAAACCGGGCGAUCUAGCCAUGAGCAGGGUGAAGGUUCGGUAACACGAACUGGAGGCCCGAACCCACUACUGUUGAAAAAGUAGGGGAUGACUUGUGGCUAGGAGUGAAAGGCUAAUCAAGCUCGGAGAUAGCUGGUUCUCCCCGAAAGCUAUUUAGGUAGCGCCUCUCGUAUCACCACUGGGGGUAGAGCACUGUUUGGGCUAGGGGGCCACCUCGGCUUACCAACCCCAUGCAAACUCCGAAUACCAGUGAGUGCAGCGAGGGAGACAGACGGCGGGUGCUAACGUCCGUCGUCAAGAGGGAAACAACCCAGAUCGCCAGCUAAGGUCCCAAAAUUACGGUUAAGUGGGAAACGAUGUGGAAAGUCAUAGACAGCCAGGAGGUUGGCUUAGAAGCAGCCACCCUUUAAAGAAAGCGUAAUAGCUCACUGGUCGAGUCGGUCCGCGCGGAAGAUUCAACGGGGCUCAAACCGUAUACCGAAGCUGCGGAUGCGGGCUCUCUUUAAGAGAGCUUGCGUGGUAGGGGAGCGUUCCGUACACCGUCGAAGGUGAACUGCGAGGUUUGCUGGAGGUAUCGGAAGUGCGAAUGCUGACGUGAGUAACGAUAAAGGAGGUGAAAAUCCUCCUCGCCGAAAGACCAAGGGUUCCUGCGCAACGCUCAUCGGCGCAGGGUGAGUCGGCCCCUAAGGCGAGGCCGAAAGGCGUAGUCGAUGGGAAGCUGGUCAAUAUUCCAGCACCGUUGAUUGCUGCGAUGGAGUGACGGAGAAGGCUAGGCGGGCCUGGCGUUGGUUGUCCAGGUUCAAGCCCGUAGGCUGAGGCCCCAGGCAAAUCCGGGGUCUCAAGGCCGAGAGGCGAUGUCGAACCUCCCUUAUACGGGAGGGAAGUCGUUGAUGCCCUGCUUCCAAGAAAAGCUUCUAAGCUUCAGGCAAUCACCGACCGUACCCCAAACCGACACAGGUGGUCGGGUAGAGAAUACCAAGGCGCUUGAGAGAACUCGGGUGAAGGAACUAGGCAAAAUGGCACCGUAACUUCGGGAGAAGGUGCGCCCCCAUACCGUGAAGAUCCUGCGAUCGAAGCGGCAGGGGGUCGAAGAUACCAGGUGGUCGCGACUGUUUAUUAAAAACACAGCACUCUGCAAACACGUAAGUGGACGUAUAGGGUGUGACGCCUGCCCGGUGCCGGAAGGUUAAUUGAUGGGGUUAGCUUCGGCGAAGCUCCUGAUCGAAGCCCCGGUAAACGGCGGCCGUAACUAUAACGGUCCUAAGGUAGCGAAAUUCCUUGUCGGGUAAGUUCCGA